UACGGGGGGGGCAAGCGUUGUUCGGAAUUACUGGGCGUAAAGGGUGCGUAGGCGGCUUGGUAAGUUGGGUGUGAAAGCCCCGGGCUCAGCCCGGGAAGGGCACUCGAAACUGCCGAGCUGGAGUGCCGGAGGGGAGAGUGGAAUUCCUGGUGUAGCGGUGAAAUGCGUAGAUAUCAGGAGGAAUACCGGUGGCGAAAGCGACUCUCUGGACGGCAACUGACGCUGAGGCACGAAAGCGUGGGGAGCAAACAGG
rnacentral:rRNA from 1 species